rnacentral:rRNA from 1 species
UACGGAGGGUGCAAGCGUUGUUCGGAAUCAUUGGGCGUAAAGCGCGUGUAGGCGGCUUGGCAAGUCGGUUGUGAAAGCCCGGGGCCCAACCCCGGAAUUGCAUCUGAAACUGCCUCGCUAGAGUCCCGGAGAGGAAGGCAGAAUUCCCGGUGUAGGGGUGAAAUCCGUAGAUAUCGGGAGGAAUACCAGCGGCGAAGGCGGCCUUCUGGACGGUGACUGACGCUGAGACGCGAAAGCGUGGGGAGCGAGCCGG